GGUUCUGUGGUGUAAUGGUUAGCACUUUGGACUUUGAAUCCAAUGAUCCGAGUUCAAAUCUCGGCAGGACCU
rnacentral:tRNA from 1 species